rnacentral:rRNA from 1 species
AGCGGCAGGCCUAAUACAUGCAAGUCGAGGGGUAUGAUUUUGAGUUUACUUGAAAUCAGAGACCGGCGCACCGGGUGCGUAACACGUAUGCAACCUACCCUUUACACGGGGGAUAGCUCAGAGAAAUCUGAAUUAAUACCCCAUAGUUACAUUGAACUGCAUGGUUUAAUGUAUAAAGCUCCGGCGGUAAAGGAUGGGCAUGCGCUACAUUAGCUAGUUGGUGAGGUAAUGGCUCACCAAGGCUACGAUGUAUAGGGGUUCUGAGAGGAUGAUCCCCCACACUGGUACUGAGACGCGGACAGACUCCUACGGGAGGCAGCAGUAGGGAAUAUUGGACAAUGGACGCAAGUCCGAUCCAGCCAUGCCGCGUGCAGGAUGACGGCCCUCUGGGUUGUAAACUGCUUUUAUAUGAGAAGAAACCUCCAGAUGCGUCUGGGGCUGACGGUAUCAUAUGAAUAAGGAUCGGCUAACUUCGUG